rnacentral:rRNA from 1 species
UACGAAGGGGGCUAGCGUUGCUCGGAAUUACUGGGCGUAAAGCGCACGUAGGCGGCUUCUUAAGUCGGUGGUGAAAUCCUGGAGCUCAACUCCAGAACUGCCUUCGAUACUGGGAGCUCGAGUCCGGGAGAGGUGAGUGGGAACUGCGGAGUUGUAGAGGUGAAAUUCGUAGAUAUUCGCAAGAACACCAGUGGCGAAGGGCGGACUCGCCUGGCCCGGUACGUG